UACGGGGGGGAGCAAGCGUUGUUCGGAUUUACUGGGCGUAAAGGGCGCGUAGGCGGUCGUGACAAGUCACUUGUGAAAUCUCCGGGCUUAACUCGGAACGGUCAAGUGAUACUGUCGGACUAGAGUCCGGAAGAGGCAAGUGGAAUUCCCGGUGUAGCGGUGAAAUGCGCAGAUAUCUGGAGGAACACCGGUGGCGAAGGCGGCAUCCUGGACCGAGAUUGACGCUGAGGCGCGAAAGCCAGGGGAGCAAACGGGG
rnacentral:rRNA from 1 species